GGUGGCAGGGUCGCAAAUAACGCAGUGCCCCAGGCAUCUCUGGGCGAGUAUCUCUUUGAGCGCCUCACUCUCAAGCAUGACUAGGAGGCCUCUGUGCCUCUC
rnacentral:pre_miRNA from 1 species